CAAUAGCGUAUAUUAAAGUUGUUGCAGUUAAAAAGCUCGUAGUUGGAUUUCUGGUGGGAGCGAUCGGUCUGGCGCUUAGCGCGAGUACUUGCAUCGUCUCCGGCCAUCCUUGGGGAGAGUCUGUCUGGCAUUAAGUUGUCUGGCAGAGGAUCCUCAUCGUUUACUGUGAAAAAAUUAGAGUGUUCAAAGCAGGCUUAUGCCGUUGAAUAUAUUAGCAUGGAAUAAUAAGAUAGGACUUUGGUACUAUUUUGUUGGUUUGCGCACCAAAGUAAUGAUUAAUAGGGACAGUUGGGGGUAUUCGUAUUCCGUUGUCAGAGGUGAAAUUCUUGGAUUUACGGAAGACGAACUACUGCGAAAGCAUUUACCAAGGAUGUUUUCAUUAA
rnacentral:rRNA from 1 species